GCAGUGGCGGCGGCGGCGGCGGCGGCGGCGGCGGCGGCGGCGGUGGUG
rnacentral:miRNA from 14 species